GGGGGUGUAGCUCAGUGGUAGAGUGCUUGCCUAGCAUGCAGGCGGCCUGGGGUUAGAUCCCCAGCACUACAA
rnacentral:tRNA from 1 species